GGACAAUGGAGGGAAAGCCUUAUCCAGCCAUUCCGCGUGAGUGAAGAAGGCCUCCGGGUGUAAAGCUCUGUCUGGAGGGAAGAAACGUUUCAGUUAAUACAGAAAAAAAAGGACGUACCUUCAGAAGAAGCUCCGGUAAAUUACGUGCCAGCAGCCGCGGUAUUACGUAGGGUGCGAGCGUUUAUCGGAAUUACUGGGCGUAAAGCGUGCGCAGGCGGUUUUGUAAGUCAGAUGUGAAAGCCCCGGGCUCAACCUGGGAACUGCGUUUGAAACUACAAGGCUAGAGUGUGGCAGAGGGGGGUGGAAUUCCACGUGUAGCAGUGAAAUGCGUAGAGAUGUGGAGGAACACCGGUGGCGAAG
rnacentral:rRNA from 1 species